rnacentral:pre_miRNA from 1 species
AAAGUACUCUCUCCGAUCCAUAUUAGUUGUCAUUGAAAUGGAUGUAUCUAGACGUAUUUUAGUGCUAGAUACAUCCGUUUAAGAAACAAGUAAUAUGGAUUGGAGGGAGUAGUAA